rnacentral:rRNA from 1 species
AACAGACUCCUACGGGAGGCAGCAGUGGGGAAUAUUGGGCAAUGGGCGCAAGCCUGACCCAGCAACGCCGCGUGAAGGAAGAAGGCUUUCGGGUUGUAAACUUCUUUUGUCAGGGACGAAGCAAGUGACGGUACCUGACGAAUAAGCCACGGCUAACUACGUGCCAGCAGCCGCGGUCAUACGUAGGUGGCAAGCGUUAUCCGGAUUUACUGGGUGUAAAGGGCGUGUAGGCGGGACUGCAAGUCAGAUGGGAAAACCACGGGCUCAACCUGUGGCCUGCAUUUGAAACUGUAGUUCUUGAGUACUGGAGAGGCAGACGGAAUUCCUAGUGUAGCGGUGAAAUGCGUAGAUAUUAGGAGGAACACCAGUGGCGAAGGCGGUCUGCUGGACAGCAACUGACGCUGAGGCGCGAAAGCGUGGGUAGCAAACAGGAUUAGAUACCCUAGUACU